rnacentral:rRNA from 1 species
UCGGGAAUUUUGGGCAAUGGGCGCAAGCCUGAUCCAGCCAUGCCGCGUGAGUGAUGAAGGCCUUAGGGUUGUAAAGCUCUUUUGCCGGGGACGAUAAUGACGGUACCCGGAGAAUAAGUCCCGGCUAACUUCGUGCCAGCAGCCGCGGUAAUACGAAGGGGACUAGCGUUGUUCGGAAUCACUGGGCGUAAAGCGCACGUAGGCGGAUUUGUAAGUCAGGGGUGAAAUCCCGGGGCUCAACCUCGGAACUGCCUUUGAUACUGCGGAUCUCGAGUCCGAUAGAGGUGAGUGGAAUUCCUAGUGUAGAGGUGAAAUUCGUAGAUAUUAGGAAGAACACCGGUGGCGAAGGCGGCUCACUGGAUCGGUACUGACGCUGAGGUGCGAAAGCGUGGGGAGCAAACAGGAUUAGAUACCCCCGUAGUCCCUGAGCGGGCUGGCAAGGCGCAU